rnacentral:tRNA from 1 species
GGUUGUGUAGUGUAGUGGUGAUGUAUGUUCUUUCUAUUCAUGACAAAAUCUUCCGGUAACCCCGGUUCGAUCCCGGGCACGACCU